rnacentral:rRNA from 1 species
AGUGAACGCUGGCGGCAGGCCUAAUACAUGCAAGUCGAGCGGCAAGUCGAGGAGUAAUCUGAGACCUAGAGCGGCGUACGGGUGCGUAACGCGUAUGCAACCUACCUCAUACAGGGGGAUAGCCCGGAGAAAUCUGGAUUAAUACCCCAUAGCACAGCACAAGGGCAUCUGCGAGCUGUUAAAGAUUCAUCGGUAUGAGAUGGGCAUGCGUCUGAUUAGCUAGUUGGCGGUGUAACGGACCACCAAGGCGACGAUCAGUAGGGGUUCUGAGAGGAAGGUCCCCCACACUGGCACUGAGAGACGGGCCAGACUCCUACGGGAGGCAGCAGUAGGGAAUAUGGGGCAAUGGACGAGAGUCUGACCCAGCCAUGCCGCGUGCAGGAAGAAGGCCUUCUGGGUUGUAAACUGCUUUUAUCUGGGAAGAAAAGGCCCAUGCGUGGGACAUUGCCGGUACCAGAUGAAUAAGCACCGGCUAACUCCGUGCCAGCCGCCGCCGUAA